GUCAGCAAGCUCUACACGGAAAAAUAUUAUAACCCAAAGAAUAAGUUUUAAAAACUCAAAUUUGACUAAACUGCUUAAAGUUUUAACUCAAAGUUGGGUUGUUUUCUCCCUCGCCCCACCGCAAUGUUUUCGAAAACAAAGAGAGAAGCACCGACGCAUCCGCUGCUCUUCCGUAAAAGAAGCCGAAUUUGGGUUUUCUUGAGUUAACCCAAAUUUGCGUCAAUUGAGGCCUCCGUUGGGUGGAAAUAACUCACCACUGGGUUAUUUUUUUUGGCGCUCUCAAACGAGAACUACUCACUCGCCACUAUCGCUAUUUGACGCAAAUUUGAGAAAUUCCACGGAAGACCGGGAUUGCGUCAAAACAACUUAAAUUUGGGUUCUUUUGUAGUUCCGUGUACACGGAGAGACGAAACUACCCAAAAGUGAGUUCUUUCCACCCAACUUCGGGGUUGCGUGCGUCAAGCCAAUUUUGAGUUGAUGGAAUCGAUGUUUUUGUUGGGUUGUUCCCGCUUGCUGCCAUGUGAAAAAAAUACCUAAUUUUAAGUUUUUUCCACUCAACCGAAAUUUUGACUAGGUUGUAUUCACUCAAAUUUGAGUACUGUGCUAGAAACUCAGUUUUGGCUUGACGCACGGAACUGCAAAAGUUGGGCUGUUUCUCUCUUCACUCUCUGACAACAACAGAAAGAGCGCAUGAAAAGGGAGAUGAGAAAGAACUCAAAAUUGAGUUUAAAAGUACCUAAUUUUGAGUUUUUCAGUUUCUCCGUGUAUAUAUAUAUAUACACGCUAAGGUCAGUUUACCCAAAUAUGGGUAACCUUUACUCAUAAUCGCUGAAAAGUGCACAACCUCAUUUUAUGGGUAAAGGCCCUUUACUCAUAUUUGAGUAAGAUAAAUAUAUCAUGAAUAUUGGUAAUAUUUACCCAUAUUGAAGUUUUUCCAGGGGGCCAGCGAAAGCCAAAAUCACCGUAGCUCACAACAAAAACACGUCCAAAAUUGUUUGUGCUCACGGUUGUUUGCGAAAACCCAUUGAUGGGUACAAAAACACCCAUUUUCGAGUAUCUUGCAGAUCUGUCGAAACAUGCGUAAAAUCAAUAAUACAAAAAGAGUAAAAAAAUACCCAUGUUUGGAAACCAUCCUUCACCCCAUUAAUGGGUGAAGAAUAGUUGUAAAAGUUCGUCGUCGCUUCCUCGUUUGUCAUCUUCAGUCUCAACUAUUUAGAAGUUAAUUAUUCCCACGAUACUACUUUUAUAUUUUGGCGAAUCAUGUUCCGGUUCACAUAAAAAGUUACGCCAUCAAGAACCAGAUGUUUUGCAUGAUGUCUUCAAGGCGAAUUUCAAUGCUCCCGGAACAAAGUCCGCUGCAUCUGUUCUAAGUGGAUGCAUCAGACGCACAGCAGGACCUAGACUAGACCAGGUUCCGAAAGCCUUGAGCCUUAUCGCAAUCCUACUAAAUGGAUCCAGUUCUGUGCAGCGACUGAAUGGAAUCUGAUGGGACGCCAAAGAACUUGACUGGGAGAAUCCGGAGAAACUUGAGCAAGUGAAUAUGUUUUUAACAAGUUAAUGUUGUAUUAUAUGUUUAUUAUGUAAUAGGACAGACCGGUGAAGUACUAGAUUUGUAGUAAUGAGCUGAAUUUUAGUAUGGUGAGAAGGUCAAUUCUCCAUUUCUGUAAUGAAAUGUUGCAAAAAGCGUGGGUAUCAUGAUUCCUUGUCUAAUUUGAUGCUGUUUGAGCAAAACUUAGGGCAACAGAGUUGUUGUUUUCUUCAUUUCUUGCAACAUAAACAACACAGUUAUCCAAAGUUUUGCUCAAACAACAUCAAAUUAGGCAAGGAAUCAUAAUACCCACGCUUUUUGAACCAUUUCUUUGCAGAAACGGAGAAUUGACCUUCUCACCAUACAAAAAUUCAGCUCAUUACUACAAAUCUAGUACUACACCGAACGUGCCCCAAUCAAAUAAAGCUCAUACAAAUCUGG